GACGUAGGGCGCAAGCGUUGUCCGGAUUUAUUGGGCGUAAAGAGCUCGUAGGCGGCUUGUUGCGUCGUCCGUGAAAACCCGCAGCUCAACUGCGGGCUUGCGGACGAUACGGGCAGGCUGGAGUUCGGUAGGGGAGACUGGAAUUCCUGGUGUAGCGGUGAAAUGCGCAGAUAUCAGGAGGAACACCGAUGGCGAAGGCAGCACUCUGGGACGGUACUGACGCUGAGACGCGAAAGCGUGGGGAGCAAACAGG
rnacentral:rRNA from 1 species